UCCGGUUUGUCACCGGCAGUCUCCUUAGAGUCCCCAACUUAAUGCUGGUAACUAAGAACAGGGGUUGCGCUCGUUGCGGGACUUAACCCAACAUCUCACGACACGAGCUGACGACAACCAUGCACCACCUGUCUCCGCGUCCCCGAAGGGAACAUCUACUUUCGUAGACUUGCGCGGGAUGUCAAGCCUUGGUAAGGUUCUUCGCGUUGCAUCGAAUUAAACCACAUGCUCCACCGCUUGUGCGGGCCCCCGUCAAUUCCUUUGAGUUUCAAUCUUGCGACCGUACUCCCCAGGCGGGAUACUUAUUGCGUUAACUGCGGCACAGUGGGAUUCGAACCCACUACACCUAGUAUCCAUCGUUUACGGCGUGGACUAC
rnacentral:misc_RNA from 1 species